rnacentral:tRNA from 1 species
AAGAGAGGCCCGCCGGCAACGAAGACUGCUAAUCUUCGCACCCAUAGUUAAACCCCAUGGCUCACUUG